rnacentral:rRNA from 1 species
UACGAAGGGGGCUAGCGUUGUUCGGAAUUACUGGGCGUAAAGCGCACGUAGGCGGAUUGUUAAGUUAGGGGUGAAAUCCCAGGGCUCAACCCUGGAACUGCCUUUAAUACUGGCAAUCUCGAGUCCGAGAGAGGUGAGUGGAAUUCCGAGUGUAGAGGUGAAAUUCGUAGAUAUUCGGAGGAACACCAGUGGCGAAGGCGGCUCACUGGCUCGGUACUGACGCUGAGGUGCGAAAGCGUGGGGGAGCAAACAGG